UACGUAGGUGGCGAGCGUUGUCCGGAUUUACUGGGCGUAAAGGGCGUGCAGGCGGUUUGUUAAGUGCAGAGUGAAAGCUCCCGGCUCAACUGGGAGAGGUCUUUGCAUACUGGCAAACUCGAGGGAGGCAGAGGAAAGUGGAAUUCCCGGUGUAGCGGUGAAAUGCGCAGAGAUCGGGAGGAACACCCGUAGCGAAGGCGGCACUCUGGGCCGGUACUGACGCUGAGGAGCGAAAGCGUGGGGAGCAAACAGG
rnacentral:rRNA from 1 species